GGAAAAAGCAUGGUCUCGCGACCAAAGAGAAAGGGUAAGGGAGUCGGUUACGCAAGGGGAAGGUAUUAGCACCCCUCACGUCCGUCGUACUCGACGGGAUCCACGUUCUAAAAGAAAGAAAAGGUUGCUAAAACAUCACACACACACACAAGGAACGCAGGUGGGGUUAAGAGAAAGAGGGCUCGCUAGGACAUCGCGUCCUAUGCCUACAUAUCUCGUCUGGAACGAG
rnacentral:lncRNA from 1 species